UCCAUUUUUGCUCCGAUUAUUGGGGACAGCUCACGGAGAGCAAGAGAUGCACACAUACAUACACAACAAGUUGACAACACUCAACAAAACUACUGGUGUUCGAAAAAAGAGAAGAAUGAAGAAGAAGAAGAAGAUAUAUUCAA
ensembl:ncRNA C04F12.15 ncRNA